AAAUCAUCAAUAUUUUUCAGCAAGGGUGUUCCGGAAAGUGUUCGAGAUGAGAUCAAGCAAACACUCCAAGUCCCUAAUGAAUCUCUAAAUGAGAAAUAUUUGGGUAUGCCUUCAGAGGUGGGAUCUUCAAAGAACGGUGCCUUUAAGUUCUUGAAAGACAUAUUAUGGAGUAAAAUACAAGGUUGGAUUGAGAAGACUCUAUCCACGGCAGGCAAGGAAGUACUGGUAAAAUCUGUGGCGCAAGCUAUUCCUGUUUUCUCCAUGUCUUGCUUUAAACUUCCUCGGGGAUUAUGUGAACAUCUCAACAUGUGGAUAAGGAAGUUCUAG
rnacentral:rRNA from 1 species